CAGUGUUAUAGCUCUUUCAGAAUUUGUCUAGCGGACUUUCCAGUUUUUGCUGGAAAGCUCCCCA